rnacentral:sRNA from 1 species
GCCUCCGCGGUGGAUACGUCGCCAUCUUGGAUCCGCGGGACAAGAAAAUUCAUGCGAGGGAGACGUGGUGGGCGGUCCUUCCUGUGACACGACCCUUGAGUGACAGUUCUAUUUGAUUGCCUCCGGUACUGUGAGGAAAGGACACGACUCUAUGGUGAGGACUGAUGGACAUACAUUAUCUGAGAAAAGAAACUACCAGGUGACAAACAGCAUGUUUGGUGCUUCAAGAAAGAAGUUUGUAGAGGGGGUCGACAGUGACUACCAUGACGAAAACAUGUACUACAGCCAGUCUUCUAUGUUUCCACAUCGGUCAGAAAAAGAUAUGCUGGCAUCACCAUCUACAUCAGGUCAGCUGUCUCAGUUUGGGGCAAGUUUAUACGGGCAACAAAACGGAAGUGAAAAUGUGACAGGAUUGGACCUUUCAGAUUUCCCAGCAUUAGCAGACCGAAACAGGAGGGAAGGAAGUGGUAACCCAACUCCAUUAAUAAACCCCUUGGCUGGAAGAGCUCCUUAUGGUAAUUAAGCUUUUUAAUGAUGGCCAGUAGAAAGUUUCCAUUGUAUGUGCACACACAUAUACAUUUACAUGUACGUAUACAUAUGCUUGUGUGUGUACACAUGUAUGUUUGCAUUUUCUAAUCAGGUUAGUGUAAUUUUUUCAGAAUUGAUAUAUUAGAAGUGAUUUUUCUUCCCAGAAUACCAUGGUAGCAAAGUUAAAUGGGAAAAC